CUCAUAAAGAGUGACGGAGGGACUGGCCCGAUGAUGUCACGGCAACCGGUUGAAACAGCGCGUUUCGAUGACCAGGUGCCAAAUCCAGCCGGCGAAAGCCGGGAAAGAUGAG
rnacentral:ncRNA from 1 species